rnacentral:rRNA from 1 species
UACGUAGGGGGCAAGCGUUGUCCGGAUUUAUUGGGCGUAAAGCGCUCGCAGGCGGCUCGAUGCGUCGUGCGUGAAACACCCCGGCUCAACUGGGGAGGGUCGUGCGGUACGGUCGGGCUGGAGGCCAGUAGGGGGAUGCGGAAUUCCGGGUGUAGUGGUGGAAUGCGUAGAGAUCCGGAGGAACACCAGCGGCGAAGGCGGCAUCCUGGACUUGUCCUGACGCUCAGGAGCGAAAGCGUGGGGAGCGAUCCGG